UCUUUACGUGUAAAGAGCUGAUUGUACUGUAAGAAUAAGGAUCGGCUAACUCCGUGCCAGCAGCCGCGGUAAUACGGAGGAUCCAAGCGUUAUCCGGAUUCAUUGGGUUUAAAGGGUGCGUAGGCGGAAUGAUAAGUCAGUGGUGAAAGCCUGCAGCUUAACUGCAGAACUGCCAUUGAUACUGUCAAUCUUGAGUACAUUUGAUGUGGGCGGAAUGUGUCAUGUAGCGGUGAAAUGCUUAGAUAUGACACAGAACACCGAUUGCGAAGGCAGCUCACAAAACUGUAACUGACGCUGAGGCACGAAAGCGUGGGUAUCAAACAGGAUUAGAUACCCUGGUAGUCCACGCUGUAAACUAUGAUUACUCGAUGUUUGCGAUACACUGUAAGCGUCUAAGCGAAAGCGAUAAGUAAUCCACCUGGGGAGUACGCUCGCAAGAGUGAAACUCAAAGGAAUUGACGGGG
rnacentral:rRNA from 1 species